GAUGCUCACCCUUGGAGACCAGCAACAAUGUGUGCAGAAACCCAGGCCAUGUGGAGAGGCCCCACAUACGUGUCCAACUGAGGUCCCAGCUGACAGCUGGCAUUGACAUAAUGUUCACUCUGGGGGAAGCCAGCUGCCACGCUGUAAGGACACUCGGGCAGUCCUAUGAAGAGGCCCGUGUGGUGAGAAAGAGAGGCCUCCAGCCAACAGCCAUAGAUGGGGUCUUGCUAUGUUUCCCAGUUGGAGUGCAGUGAUUAUUCACAGACAUGAUCCCACUACUGAUCAGCAUGGGAGUUUUCACCUGCUCCAUUUCCCACCUGGGAGGUCAUCAUAUUGAUGGCGAGCUAAGUGUGGACACCUGAUCAGCAUAGCACAGUACAGCCCAGAACCCCUGGGCUCCAGUGAUCCUCUUACUUCAGCCUCUUGAGUAGCUGGAACUACAGGCCUGCACCACUGCACCCGGCUAGUUUGUUUUUGUUAGAGUUUUGUCUCUAGGAUUUUCCUCAGCUGAGUAUGUGAAGGCU
rnacentral:lncRNA from 1 species